rnacentral:rRNA from 1 species
UACGUAGGGGGCGAGCGUUGUCCGGAAUUAUUGGGCGUAAAGAGCUUGUAGGCGGUUUGUCGCGUCUGCUGUGAAAACCGGAGGCUCAACCUCCGGCCUGCAGUGGGUACGGGCAAACUAGAGUGCGGUAGGGGAGAUUGGAAUUCCUGGUGUAGCGGUGGAAUGCGCAGAUAUCAGGAGGAACACCGAUGGCGAAGGCAGAUCUCUGGGCCGUAACUGACGCUGAGGAGCGAAAGCGUGGGGAGCGAACAGG